AAUAGAUACCCGGGUAGUCCACGCUGUAAACGGUGGUACUAGGUGUGGGGUCCAGUUCCACGGGUUCCGCGGCCGUAGCUAACGCUUUAAGUACCCCGCCUGGGGAGUACGGCCGCAAGGCUAAAACUCAAAGGAAUUGACGGGGCCCCGCACAAGCGGCGGAGCAUGCGGAUUAAUUUGAUGCAACGCGUAGAACCUUACCUGGGUUUGACAUGGAUCGGGAGUGCUCAGAGAUGGGUGUGCCUCUUUUGGGGUCGGUUCACAGGUGGUGCAUGGCUGUCGUCAGCUCGUGUCGUGAGAUGUUGGGUUAAGUCCCGCAACGAGCGCAACCCGUUGUUCACUGUUGCCAGCACGUUAUGGUGGGGACUCAGUGGAGACCGCCGGGGUCAACGUCGGAGGAAGGUGGGGAUGACGUCAAGUCGAUCAUGCCCCUUAUGUCCAGGGCUUCACGCAUGCUACAAUGGCUGGUACAGAGAGUGGCGAGCCUGUGAGGGUGAGCGAAUCUACGGAACGCCGGUCUACNGUUCGGUAUUGGGGUCUGCAACUCCG
rnacentral:rRNA from 1 species